CAGCAGCCGCGGUAAUACAGAGGGUGCAAGCGUUAAUCGGAAUUACUGGGCGUAAAGCGCGCGUAGGUGGUUUGUUAAGUUGGAUGUGAAAGCCCCGGGCUCAACCUGGGAACUGCAUCCAAAACUGGCAAGCUAGAGUACGGUAGAGGGUGGUGGAAUUUCCUGUGUAGCGGUAAAAUGCGUAGAUAUAGGAAGGAACACCAGUGGCGAAGGCGACCACCUGGACUGAUACUGACACUGAGGUGCGAAAGCGUGGGGAGCAAACAGGAUUAGAUACCCCAGUAGUCCCUGUCUCUUAUAA
rnacentral:rRNA from 1 species